UACAGAGGUCCCGAGCGUUGUUCGGAUUCACUGGGCGUAAAGGGUGCGUAGGUGGUGAGGUAAGUCGGAUGUGAAAUCUCGGAGCUUAACUCCGAAACUGCAUUGGAAACUACCUCGCUAGAGGGUUGGAGGGGGACUGGAAUGCUUGGUGUAGCAGUGAAAUGCGUAGAUAUCAAGCGGAACACCAGUGGCGAAGGCGAGUCCCUGGACAACUCCUGACACUGAGGCACGAAAGCUAGGGGAGCAAACAGG
rnacentral:rRNA from 1 species